GACGAAGGGGGCUAGCGUUGUUCGGAAUUACUGGGCGUAAAGCGCGCGUAGGCGGCUCUUCAAGUCAGGCGUGAAAGCCCCGGGCUUAACCCGGGAAUAGCGCUUGAUACUGUUGGGCUUGAGUCCGGGAGAGGAUAGUGGAAUUCCCAGUGUAGAGGUGAAAUUCGUAGAUAUUGGGAAGAACACCAGUGGCGAAGGCGGCUAUCUGGACGGUACUGACGCUGAGGCGCGAAAGCGUGGGGAGCAAACAGGAUUAGAAUCGACCUGUC
rnacentral:rRNA from 1 species